GCUGACCUUUGAAUUUCAAUGUACCUCUCUAUAACAUGACACAGCUGUAAUGUCAGUGUUCGCAUUGAUUUGAUUUUUGGUUUGCUUGGAGGGCGCUGGCACCCACAUUCAGUGACCCAGAAAUUUGGCACUGCUGUGAAUAGUUUAGUCGCAAAGUGAAGAUUCACGGGUAAAAAGCGCCAAACUGUCAGAAAGGUUAGUUUUCAGCUUUCAGCAGCCCUGGGCGAGUUCUUCAGAGAAAUGUGGCUCUUUUUCUUGGUGCACUUGUCUAUGUCGAGCUACACAAGGAGAUGGGGAUGGUCAUUGUCAUUUUCUGAGCUGCGAACGGGCAGAAAGGAGAUGAGGAUGGUCAAUGUCUGUUACUGAGCUAUUAACGGGCAGAAAGCUACAGAAGGAGAUGAGGAUGGUCAUUGUCUGUUUCUGAGCUGCGAAGGGGCAGAAAGCUACACAAGGAGAUGAGGAUGGUCAUUGUCAUUUUCUGAGCUGCGAACGGGCAGAAAGCUACAGAAGGAGAUAAGGAUGGUCAUUGUCUGUUUCUGAGCUGCGAACGGGCAGAAAGCUACAGAAGGAUAUGAGGAUGGUCAUUGUCUGUUUCUGAGCUGCGAACGGGCAGAAAGAAGGAGAUGAGGAUGGUCAUUGUCUGUUACAUAUAAGUUUCCGUGCAUGGCACGCUAGAGAAGGAGAUGAGGAUGGUCAUUGUCUGGUUCUGAGCUGCGAACGGGCAGAAAGCUACAGAAGGAGAUGAGGAUGGUCAUUGUCAUUUUCUGAUCUGCGAACGGGCAGAAAGGAGAUGAGGAUGGUCAUUGUCUGUUACUGAGCUAUUAACGGGCGGAAAG